UAAAUACUUCCAGCAGGGAGGUCUCAUAUGAGGUGCCAAGCUUUGAGCGAGCAAGAAUAUCUCAUUGUUUGGAUGAGGACAGCUGCCUUGCCAUAGUUUAGAAAACUCUAUGGGAGAAUUGAGAGAGACCUCGCAGCCAAUGAACAAAUCUCAAUGACAAUAGAGAACAACUACAACACUUACAAUUUUGAAGGGGAGAAGAGGACCCUUGGAGAUCCAUCGUACUUAUCUUGGAACAGAAACCCA